AGGACAACUAUUGUUGACGAGCGGCUACAAAAAAAGUUUUGCUCGUCAAUGUAAAAUGAGUGAGAGACAAAAGAGGGAGGUGGAGGAAAGAGUUGGAGCAGAAUGGACCAAAGAAAUAAACGCGGGAAAAGCGGAAUGCUGAUUCCAAUUUCUUACUGCACCACCAAAAUCCUGACCCAAAUUAAGCAACAAAAAACUCUGCCGCUCUGUAAAUCCACAAGUCGGAAAAAAAAUCAUCGGCGCCGCCGGCCAGUAGGAGGAGCUCCACCAACAACCGCCGUCUCCUCCUCCUUCUGGCUUCCUUCCACGUGUUUCUCUCACUCCCGUAUAUGCACAAAACGUAACCAAUUUUCAACAAAAGCCUCUUCCGCCUGCCAAUUGUGAGAUUGAAAAUUCAAUUUGGAUAUACAUAUAUGUAAUUUAAGAAAAAUGAAGGUGAAUUGGGAGGUUGAGGAAUGUUGUAACCACGAUCAGACUAUCUUCCUUGUCACCAUUGGUGUCUACACCGUCUGCAUUUUUAUCUUAUGGAGAACAUUUAUUAUAACUCCUUUCAAGCUCAUUACUGUGUUUCUUCAUGAAGUAAGCCACGCGAUUGCUUGUAAGAUCACAUGUGGUGAGGUGGUCGGCAUCAAAGUUCAUGCCAAUGAGGGGGGAGUGACACAAACGCGUGGUGGUCUUACUUGGGUGAUAUUGCCUGCUGGAUAUCUGGGUUCAUCAUUUUGGGGAAUGGUUCUCAUACUCUCAUCGACGUAUGUUCUCUCUGCAAUGAUAGCUGCUGGUUGUUUUAUUGCUGCUUUGCUUAUCGUGCUCUGCCUUGCAAAAAAUUGGACACUUCGCGGACUUUGCAUCGGUUUUAUCAUUUUCAUUGGUGGAAUUUGGGCUCUGCAAAUUCAAACGGAUGUUCGUUUGCUCCGUUACGUAAUUCUUUUCAUAGGUGUUAUGAACAGCUUGUUUUCCGUAUAUGAUAUCUAUGAUGAUUUAAUAUCUCGAAGAGUGAACACGAGUGACGCUGAGAAAUUUGCUGAACUUUGUCCUUGCUGUUGUGCUGGUCCUUUUUGGGGAGUCCUCUGUUUUAUAGGGGAAUGAUAUCUUUUGCAUUUCUUUUUGGAGCUAUGUACCUUGGACUUGCCCUUUUAUCUUGAGGUCUUUUCGGAUGGGUUUAAUGGCCUUACAAUAUUGCAAAGCAGAGUUCUGUCAUCUCAUAAGUCUUUUGAUUCUUCAAAUGGCUGUUGUAUAGUAUAUCAUCAACCUUAGAUGCUAUUUGCACAGGGGUGCAUUCUCAUCAUUGACUGAGUGGGCACAUUUUUUUUAUCCCUAUUAGAUGGGGUAAGUACAUUUAUGACUUGUAUUUGUAUAGCAAAAUCAAAUACCAUGGUUUCCAGUUCAGCUGAUUCCUGUGCCAGAACUUUUCCAGACAUUUGUAAUUCAUGGUCUAAUUAGACAAAAUCUUGCUUCGAACAUGGGGAGUUUGCUAAGAGAAAAUUCAAGAGAAAGAGCCGAUUAUGUGGAAAAUCCUACAAAGAAGUUAUGCAAAUACAAGCACUCUAUAUACAGGCAUUCCAGCCCGUUUAAUGAGGGGGGAUGCUCUUUGUUUACAUCCAUUAGUUUGUAAAUUGGGAAACAAAAUUGUUUUUAGAGUUUGCAAGUCUUCAUUUCACUGUAAAUCAACGAGUACAGUGGGUUGUUUGAUGCCUGUACAUGACUUGGAGAACUUGGUUAGUUUUCCGCUGCUGCUUUGCUUGCACAUGACUUUUAACAAACAAAAGUGUGACUUUGGGGUUAUUCGAAGUAGUUGAAAUCUCACCUGGAGUGUAUUUCUCCAA